ensembl:rRNA predicted gene, 26280
CCACAGUACCCCGGAAGUGCCUGAUCUUGUCUGAUCUCAGAAGCUAAGCAAGGCUGGGCCUGUUUAGUACUUGGAUGGGACAUGUCUCCUGUGCUCAAGUG